AAGCAACAGGGAUUGCCCCAGUAACGGCGAGUGAAGCGGCAACAGCUCAAAUUUGAAAUCUGGCCCCCCCGCGGGGUCCGAGUUGUAAUUUGUAGAGGAUGCUUUUGGUGAGGUGCCGCCCGAGUUCCCUGGAACGGGACGCCGCAGAGGGUGAGAGCCCCGUCUGGCUGGCCGCCGAGCCUCUGUAAAGCUCCUUCGACGAGUCGAGUAGUUUGGGAAUGCUGCUCAAAAUGGGAGGUAUAUGUCUUCUAAAGCUAAAUAUUGGCCAGAGACCGAUAGCGCACAAGUAGAGUGAUCGAAAGAUGAAAAGCACCUUGAAAAGAGGGUUAAACAGUACGUGAAAUUGUUGAAAGGGAAGCGCUCGUGACCAGACUUGGGCGCGGCGGAUCAUCCGGGGUUCUCCCCGGUGCACUUCGCCGCGCCCGGGCCAGCAUCAGCUCGGCGCGGGGGAAAAAGGCCUCGGGAACGUGGCUCCUCCGGGAGUGUUAUAGCCCGUUGCGUAAUACCCUGCGGUGGGCUGAGGACCGCGCAUCUGCAAGGAUGCUGGCGUAAUGGUCACCGGCGACCCGUCUUGAAACACGGACCAAGGAGUCGUCCUCGUAUGCGAGUGUUCGGGUGUCAAACCCCUACGCGUAAUGAAAGUGAACGCAGGUGAGAGCUUCGGCGCAUCAUCGACCGAUCCUGAUGUUCUCGGAUGGAUUUGAGUAAGAGCAUACGGGGCCGGACCCGAAAGAAGGUGAACUAUGCCUGUAUAGGGUGAAGCCAGAGGAAACUCUGGUGGAGGCUCGCAGCGGUUCUGACGUGCAAAUCGAUCGUCAAAUAUGGGCAUGGGGGCGAAAGACUAAUCGAACCUUCUAGUAGCUGGUUUCCGCCGAAGUCCUCCUACAGAUAAA
rnacentral:rRNA from 1 species